rnacentral:rRNA from 1 species
AAUGAACGCUGGCGGCAGGCCUAACACAUGCAAGUCGAACGGGUCCUUCGGGACUAGUGGCGGACGGGUGAGUAACGCGUGGGAACGUGCCCUUUGCUUCGGAAUAGCCCCGGGAAACUGGGAGUAAUACCGAAUGUGCCCGAGAGGGGAAAGAUUUAUCGGCAAAGGAUCGGCCCGCGUUGGAUUAGGUAGUUGGUGGGGUAAUGGCCUACCAAGCCGACGAUCCAUAGCUGGUUUGAGAGGAUGAUCAGCCACACUGGGACUGAGACACGGCCCAGACUCCUACGGGAGGCAGCAGUGGGGAAUCUUAGACAAUGGGGGAAACCCUGAUCUAGCCAUGCCGCGUGAUCGAUGAAGGCCUUAGGGUUGUAAAGAUCUUUCAGGUGGGAAGAUAAUGACUGUACCACCAGAAGAAGCCCCGGCUAACUCCGUGCCAGCAGCCGCAGUAAAAC